rnacentral:tRNA from 1 species
AUUUAAAUAGUUUAACAAAAAUAUUGAAUUGUGAUUUCAAUGAUAUAUACAUAAUAUUUUAAAUU